AGAGGAAACUCAAUCUGUAUAAAGGAGGUCAAGGGCAGACUUUACUGACCAUGCUCCAUUCUUUUUUCCCCGAUACACUGUUUCCAAUUACUCUCCCAAGAGGGAAAUAACUGCCUUCCUAGCUUCAAAUACAGUGGUGGCUAAAUAUAUGAAACAAUGGAAGCUUUGAGGAUCAUCCAGCUGGAAUAGCUACUAAGUACAAAGGCUGUGGGCAAGACCAGCAGAUGGAUGAAGGCUGGAAGAAAGAUGUCAGAGGAAGACCU
rnacentral:lncRNA from 1 species